CCUACGGGUGGCAGCAGUGGGGAAUAUUGCACAAUGGAGGAAACUCUGAUGCAGCGAUGCCGCGUGAGGGAAGAAGGUUUUCGGAUUGUAAACCUCUGUCUUAAGGGACGAUAAUGACGGUACCUUAGGAGGAAGCUCCGGCUAACUACGUGCCAGCAGCCGCGGUAAUACGUAGGGAGCGAGCGUUGUCCGGAAUUACUGGGUGUAAAGGGAGUGUAGGCGGGAUGGUAAGUUAGGUGUGAAAUGCGGAGGCUCAACCUCCGAGCUGCACUUAAAACUGCUGUUCUUGAGUGAAGUAGAGGUUGGCGGAAUUCCCAGUGUAGCGGUGAAAUGCGUAGAUAUUGGGAGGAACAUCAGUGGCGAAGGCGGCCAACUGGGCUUUUACUGACGCUGAGGCUCGAAAGCGUGGGUAGCAAACAGGAUUAGAUACCCCUGUAGUCC
rnacentral:rRNA from 1 species